rnacentral:tRNA from 1 species
AAUAAAAUGGCUGAAUUUAGGCGAUAAAUUGUAAAUUUAUUUAUGAAAUUAUUUUUCUUUUAUUA